GAUUGUGGUAGUUUUCUUUCUGGCACAUGUGUUAAGUUUUCAAAUGGGCCUGGCUCUGCCACAUAUGUUAUAUAGGAGCUGGCAGAGGCUUGAUGACAAAGAGGUCUCUUUCUAGCCUUUCCUGCACCAGAGACGGGCUCCCACAUGU
ensembl:snoRNA